GACGAACGCUGGCGGCGUGCCUAAUACAUGCAAGUAGAACGCUGAAGGAGGAGCUUGCUCUUCUGGAUGAGUUGCGAACGGGUGAGUAACGCGUAGGUAACCUGCCUGGUAGCGGGGGAUAACUAUUGGAAACGAUAGCUAAUACCGCAUAAGAGUAGAUGUUGCAUGACAUUUACUUAAAAGGUGCAAUUGCAUCACUACCAGAUGGACCUGCGUUGUAUUAGCUAGUUGGUGGGGUAACGGCUUACCAAGGCGACGAUACAUAGCCGACCUGAGAGGGUGAUCGGCCACACUGGGACUGAGACACGGCCCAGACUCCUACGGGAGGCAGCAGUAGGGAAUCUUCGGCAAUGGACGGAAGUCUGACCGAGCAACGCCGCGUGAGUGAAGAAGGGUUUCGGAUCGUAAAGCUCUGUUGUAAGAGAAGAACGAGUGUGAGAGUGGAAAGUUCACACUGUGACGGUAUCUUACCAGAAAGGGACGGCUAACUACGUG
rnacentral:rRNA from 1 species